GACGAACGCUGGCGGCGUGCCUAAUACAUGCAAGUAGAACGCAGAGGUGAACGGGUGAGUAAGGCGUAGGUAAAUGCCGCAUAGCGGGGGAUAAAUAUGGGAAACGAUAGCUAAUACCGCAUACUGUGAGAUGGAACGGCGUUUUAUUGGCGAGUUGGUGAGGUAAAGGCCCACCAAGGAGACGAUACAUAGCCGACCUGAGAGGGUGAUCCGCCCCACUGGGACUGAGGCACCGCCCAGACUCCUACGGGAGGCAGCAGUAGGGAAUCUUCGGCAAUUGACGGAAGUCCUACCGAGCAACGCCGCGUGAGGGAAUAAUGUUUUCGGAUCGUAAAGCUCUUUUGUGGUAGAAGCGUUAACUAACCAGAAAGGGACGGCUAACUACGUGCCAGCCGCCGCGGUAAUAC
rnacentral:rRNA from 1 species